rnacentral:tRNA from 1 species
UUUUUAUAGUAUAAACAAUACAUUUAAUUUCGACUUAAAAAAUGACCUUAAAAUCUAAAUUUAAUUGAAAC